UUAUGCACGAUUAUAUAACAUCCAAUGAAUUUAUCUGAGAGGACGUUUACAGAAAUAUAUAUUCAGAUUGUGUUCAGCCUUGUAAGCUAUGCUGACACCGAAGGGAAGGACGUUCAAUCAGAGUCAGUAUCAUUGUCGCAGGGAGACUUUUCUGCUGCACUGUAUGAUGGAUCUAUAUAAGUGAGUGAAAUUCAAGUCAAGGAACCAGAAGAUGUGCCUCAGCAGCAUGGAUCAGUCUGAUAUCCAGCCGGCUCUGGGCCCAGCACCCGCUCUGACUCAUGGGACACCUGGGGGCAGAGCGAGGCCAGCACAUUACGAAUGUCCUAUGGCCUGACAUCAGAAACCCCCACACCCAUCUGAAUCCCCCCCCUCAUUGUUAUUAAUCUCAUCAGAAAAGACAAGCAGGGUUGCAAGGGGGGAGCUGAAGAACAGCUUGAACAGGUGGCCAGUCUAUCUAUCACAGGGCAACAUGGAGGCACACAGGGCACACAACAU